UGUUCCUACGUCUCUACCCAUUCUCAUCCAUUUGCAUGUUUAUUUCUUUACGUUUAACGCCAGAUCCGACGACGAGUCCCUCGAAGGUACUAAUACCUGGGACCCGACCAUCGAUUUCGAGCAAGAAACGAAUCAAACGGAGGAUGAAGAGAACAAGGAUGUGGGACUUCCCCCGGAGUUGGAUAAGAUAGUCGCCCAUGAGGACCAAGAGAUGUGGCCUCAUAAAAAAGAGA
rnacentral:lncRNA from 1 species